AAAGAUUACAUUCGGCUUUUCAUAACGUCGAGUUUACCUAUGUACAAAUAUUAUGUUGCGUAUGUACAAAGGCAAGUGUCUUCGGGUAAUUUUAAUUUCCCAAAGGAAAUAACUUACGCCAAGUUUCGUCUCGCUAUCAUUGCCAUGAUACGGUUGCUUAAUAUUGAUUUUGACAAUGGGUUUUUUUGUGAA